rnacentral:rRNA from 1 species
AUGGCGAGCUAUCGAUUCCUCGUCCAGCAGAUCAGCGGAUACUUCGAAGGGUGCGAGUUCCUUCACAUGCCAAGGGCCGACAACGACCAAGCAGAUGCCCUAGCACGGAUCGGCUCCACCCGACAAGCCAUACCGACUGGCGUCUCCCUCCAGCGCCUCCUCAAGCCGUCCAUCAAACCGUCUCCAGAGUCGGACUCUAUCUUCGUACCGCCUGCGCCAGAUGCAGCCGGAUCCGACUGGAGGAACCCCGCAGGCGGCACGGGGACUUCGACAACUGGCCCGGGGACUGCCGUAGUCGCACCUGGCCCGGGGACUUCAGAACCCGGCCCAGGGAUUGCAGCAGUCGGCCCGGGGACUGCAACGACACAAGAAGCGGUGGCCGACUCCAAUUCCAUGCCACCCAACCCACCCACCCGAGUCAUGGUGGCUACACUAACAGAAGAAGAAGUCAUAGCUCCAUCAUGGGCCCAGCCCAUCCUCAAGUUCCUAGUCAGCAGAGAGCUGCCGGCUGAUGAGAUCUCAGCAAGACUAGUGCAACGACGAGCCGCAACAUAUGCAAUAAUCAACAGGGAGCUUGUGAAGCGCAGCGUCACUGGAGUCUUCCAGCGUCAUGUCGAGCCAGAAAAAGGAGUGGCAAUCCUCAAGGAUAUCCACCAAGGCGAAUGCGGCCACCACGCAGCCUCAAGAUCACUUGUGGCCAAGGCUUUCCGCCAUGGUUUCUUCUGGCCGGCUGCCUUGGAGGAUGCUAAAGAAAUAGUCAAGAGCUGCAGAGGAUGCCAAGUUUUUAGUUCCAAGCAACACCUGCCAGCUUCUGCACUCAAGACCAUUCCCCUCACCUGGCCUUUUGCCGUCUGGGGACUGGACAUGGUGGGCCCUUUCAAGACAGCCCGCGGCGGCUUGACGCAUCUACUUGUCGCUGUGGACAAGUUCACAAAGUGGAUCGAAGCAAAGCCGAUCAAGAAGCUGAACGGGCCGACUGCCGUGACAUUCAUCACUGACAUCACUACUCGGUACGGCGUGCCGCACAGCAUCAUCACCGACAACGGCACAAACUUCGCCAAAGGAGCACUGGCAAGUUUCUGCGCGACGCAGGGCAUCCGACUGGACUUAGCGUCCGUUGCCCACCCGCAGUCAAACGGCUAG